UACGUAGGGUGCGAGCGUUAAUCGGAAUUACUGGGCGUAAAGGGUGCGCAGGCGGCUCCGCAUGUCAGGCGUGAAAGCCCCGGGCUCAACCUGGGAACCGCGCUUGAGACUGGAGAACUAGAGUUCGGGAGAGGAUGGUGGAAUUCCCAGUGUAGAGGUGAAAUUCGUAGAUAUUGGGAAGAACACCGAUGGCGAAGGCAGCCAUCUGGACCGACACUGACGCUGAGGCGCGAAAGCGUGGGGAGCAAACAGG
rnacentral:rRNA from 1 species